rnacentral:rRNA from 1 species
CCUACGGGAGGCAGCAGUGAGGAAUAUUGGUCAAUGGACGAGAGUCUGAACCAGCCAAGUAGCGUGAAGGAUGACUGCCCUAUGGGUUGUAAACUUCUUUUAUAUGGGAAUAAAACGUUCCACGUGUGGGAUUUUGUAUGUACCAUAUGAAUAAGGAUCGGCUAACUCCGUGCCAGCAGCCGCGGUAAUACGGAGGAUCCGAGCGUUAUCCGGAUUUAUUGGGUUUAAAGGGAGCGUAGGUGGAUUGUUAAGUCAGUUGUGAAAGUUUGCGGCUAAACCGUAAAAUUGCAGUUGAAACUGGCAGUCUUGAGUACAGUAGAGGUGGGCGGAAUUCGUGGUGUAGCGGUGAAAUGCUUAGAUAUCACGAAGAACUCCGAUUGCGAAGGCAGUUCACUGGACUGCAACUGACACUGAGGCUCGAAAGUGUGGGUAUCAAACAGGAUUAGAUACCCCUGUAGUC